rnacentral:rRNA from 1 species
UACGGAGGGUGCAAGCGUUAUCCGGGAUUCACUGGGGUUUAAAGGGAGCGUAGGAGGGCAGGUAAGUCAGUGGUGAAAUCUUCGAGCUUAACUCGGAAACUGCCGUUGAUUACUAUCUGUCUUGAAUACCGUGGAGAUGAGCGGAAUAUGUCAAUGUAGCGGUGAAAUGCUUAGAUAUGAACAUAGAACACCAAUUGCGAAAG